rnacentral:rRNA from 1 species
UUUGACUGGGGCGGUCGCCUCCCAAAGAGUAACGGAGGCGCGCAAUGGUGAGUUCAGGCCGGAUGGCAAUCGGCUAUGGCGUGUAAGCGCAGAAACUCGCUUGACUGCAAGGCAAACAGGCCGCGCAGGGUCGAAAGACGGUGCUAGUGAUCCCACGUGCCUGAGUGGAAAGGCCGUGGCGUAACGGAUAAAAGCUACCCCGGGGAUAACAGGCUGAUCCCGCCCAAGAGUUCACAUCGACGGCGGGGUUUGGCACCUCGAUGUCGGCUCGUCACCAUCCUGGGGGCUGGAGAAGGUCCCAAGGGUUCGGCUGUUCGCCGAUUAAAGUGGCACGCGAGCUGGGUUCAGAACGUCGUGAGACAGUUCGGUCCCUAUCUGUGGUGGGCGUAAGAAGAUUGGACGGGGGGCUGCCCUUAGU